rnacentral:rRNA from 1 species
UACGUAGGGGGCAAGCGUUUGUCCGGAAUCAUUGGGCGUAAAGCGCGUGUAGGCGGCUAGAUAAGUCUGCUCUGAAAGCCCGGGGCUCAACCCCGGGAGGCGGGUGGAUACUGUCUAGCUCGAGUCCGGAAGAGGAGAGUGGAAUUCCCCGGUGUAGCGGUGAAAUGUGUAGAGAUCCGGAGGAACACCAGUGGUGCAAACGGCGCCCUGGGUCCGAACUGACGCUGAAGCACGAAAGCGUGGGGAGCGAACGGG